rnacentral:rRNA from 1 species
GACGAACGCUGGCGGCGCGCUUAACACAUGCAAGUCGAGCGAGAACCAGGGCUUCGGCCCUGGGGACAGCGGCGAACGGGUGAGUAACACGUGGGUAAUCUGCCCUCGGCACCGGAAUAGCCCGGGGAAACCCGGAUUAAUGCCGGAUGGCCCCUUCACCUCGCGAGGUGUCGGGAAAAGGUAGCUUCGGCCUCUGGCCGAGGAUGAGCCCGCGGCGGAUUAGCUUGUUGGCGGGGUAACGGCCCACCAAGGGGACGAUCCGUAGCUGGUCUGAGAGGACGAUCAGCCACACUGGGACUGAGACACGGCCCAGACUCCUACGGGAGGCAGCAGUGGGGAAUCUUGCGCAAUGGGCGAAAGCCUGACGCAGCGACGCCGCGUGAGGGAAGAAGGCCUUCGGGUUGUAAACCUCUUUCAGGAGGGACGAAGCUACUCGGGUGAAUAGCCCAGAGGGUGACGGUACCUCCAGAAGAAGCCCCGGCUAACUACGUGCCAGCAGCCGCCGUAA